CCUACGGGAGGCAGCAGUGAGGAAUAUUGGUCAAUGGCCGUAAGGCUGAACCAGCCAAGUCGCGUGAAGGAAGACGGAUCUAUGGUUUGUAAACUUCUUUUAUAGGGGAAUAAAGGUAUCCACGUGUGGCUAUUUGCAUGUACCCUAUGAAUAAGCAUCGGCUAACUCCGUGCCAGCAGCCGCGGUAAUACGGAGGAUGCGAGCGUUAUCCGGAUUUAUUGGGUUUAAAGGGUGCGUAGGUUGUUUUUUAAGUCAGCGGUGAAAGUUUGUGGCUCAACCAUAAAAUUGCCGUUGAUACUGGAAGACUUGAGUGUGUUUGAGGUAGGCGGAAUGCGUGGUGUAGCGGUGAAAUGCAUAGAUAUCACGCAGAACGCCGAUUGCGAAGGCAGCUUACUAAGCCAUAACUGACACUGAAGCACGAAAGCGUGGGGAUCAAACAGGAUUAGAUACCCGAGUAGUC
rnacentral:rRNA from 1 species